rnacentral:rRNA from 1 species
GAUGAACGCUGGCGGCGUGCUUAACACAUGCAAGUCGAACGGACUGAAUGGAGCUUGCUCCAUGAGGUUAGUGGCGGACGGGUGAGUAACGCGUGGGUAACCUGCCCUAUGCAGGGGGACAACACCGGGAAACUGGUGCUAAUACCGCAUAACAUAUGAGGUUCGCAUGAACUUCAUAUCAAAGAUUUAUCGGCAUAGGAUGGACCCGCGUUGGAUUAGCUAGUUGGUGAGAUAACAGCCCACCAAGGCAACGAUCCAUAGCCGGCCUGAGAGGGUGAACGGCCACACUGGGACUGAGACACGGCCCAGACUCCUACGGGAGGCUG